ACAGUUUGUUCAAAUGUUUUCCAGCUGUGAGUAUCCUCUCCAUUUCUGGUGUGCAUUGCAUUGUGGGAUAAUCGACUCCAUCAACAUCACUCACAAAAAUUUAGCAGCACACCGAGCCUCGGGCAGCAGAUCUCAACACUGACAGCAACAGCUCCCCCACAGAGACGCUGGAUAACACGCAACACAACAAACCACAACGGCACAGCGACCUCCUGUCUUGCCUAUCAGGAGGAUGGAGUACAACAGCUCUGAGGCAGAAGACAGGCCGAGUGCAGCCAGAGGGAUUAAAGCCACUGUCAGCAAGAGAAAGGGCAGAGGGGCGCACAGGAAAUGAUUGUGGCCCCAUGGAGGCAAGUCAGAGGCCAGAGCCGCCAGUCCAGCUGCUGCAACACAGUGCUGAGGGAAACAAGAAAAGUGCAAGAAUUAAUGAGGGCAUCAGUUCCUGCCACCUCCACUCUCCUGCGCCGACAGACUGCGCCCAGCUCCCGCUCUGCCUGUUGCUUGAAAGUGAGAAGUAAAUAUUAGGACUUGACUAUUUAGAAAGAGUUGGAAAUGUGCAGCCCACAGCAGGGCCAUGAGAGGGGCAGCAGGAGAAAUGAGGAGUGAGUGGGUCCACUGGCAGAACAUCUGAAAUCUGCUCCCUAGCAGGAUGUGACAGAGAUGUGCGCUAAUUGCUUUAACCCUUCACACCUACUUGUUCCUUGUAAUGGCCCUCCAGCCAUGCCUCUUCAAAUAAAGAUUAAUCUACCCUCACCAA